GGCAGCAGUAGGGAAUAUUGGUCAAUGGGCGAAAGCCUGAACCAGCCAUGCCGCGUGCAGGAUGACAGCUUUCUGAGUUGUAAACUGCUUUUCUAUAAGAAGAAAAAACCCUUGCGAGGGUAAUUGACGGUACUAUAGGAAUAAGCACCGGCUAACUCCGUGCCAGCAGCCGCGGUAAUACGGAGGGUGCAAGCGUUGUCCGGAUUUAUUGGGUUUAAAGGGUACGUAGGUGGAUUCUUAAGUCCGUGGUGAAAGCCCGCAGCUUAACUGCGGAACUGCCAUGGAUACUGGGAAUCUUGAAUUCAGUUGAGGUUGGCGGAAUUUAUGGUGUAGCGGUGAAAUGCAUAGAUACCAUAAAGAACACCUAUUGCGAAGGCGGCUAACUGGACUUGAAUUGACACUGAGGUACGAAAGCGUGGGGAGCGAACAGGAUUAGAUACCCUGGUAGUCCACGCCGUAAACUAUGGAUACUCGUUGUUGGCGAUAUACUGUCAGUGACCAAGCGAAAGCGUUAAGUAUCCCACCUGGGAAGUACGACCGCAAGGUUGAAACUCAAAUGAAUUGACGG
rnacentral:rRNA from 1 species